CUCUCCAAGAUGAAGGCAGAGAGUGGAGUGAUCCAUCCACACAAGCCAAGGAACGGCCAAGGACUGCCAGCGAGCACCAGGAGCCAGGAGAGGCAUGGGACUGAUUCUCAUCCCACAGAAAGGAUGAACUUUGCCCACCCCCUGGUCUCAGAUCUGGCUCUCACAACUGUCAGGGACUAAGCUCCUGUUGUUUCCCACCCAGUUUGUGACACUUUGUGACAGCCGCUCUAGGACACAAAUACACAUCCUUUAAACGGGGGUGCGAGGCAGCAAGGCCCCACAUAGUAAAUGUCACCAUGUAACAUCCUUCUGUUUAGCAUCAUUUGAAUGCAUUUUUAAAGGAAGUCCCAUGCAGAGUGAACAAUUAGGCAAGUUUUACUCAAAAAAGGUUGCUCAGUGAAGCCCACAUAUGAACUUUCCAGGGAUGAAGCAGUGGGGGAGACUGAGGGCAUCCAGGGAUCUGGAGACCCUGCAAUGGAGUGAUGGCCCAGCAGUUUGUGGGCUCAUCCUUAAAUCCCUGCAAUCUGGAUUCUCAGAUGAGGUCUAGAGAAUGGAGAUAUGCCUCGAGGACCAGUGAGCAGAAAGAAACCUCCUGGCUUCUGCAGAAGACCAGGAAAGGGAAGGGCUGAGCUGGUGAAGAAUAU